rnacentral:rRNA from 1 species
UACAGAGGGUGCAAGCGUUAAUCGGAAUUACUGGGCGUAAAGCGCGCGCAGGCGGCUAUCCAAGUCAGUGGUGAAAGCCCGGAGCUCAACUCCGGAACUGCCAUUGAAACUGCAGUGCUGGAGUGUGGGAGAGGUGAGUGGAAUUCCCGGUGUAGCGGUGAAAUGCGUAGAUAUCGGAAGGAACGCCGGUGGCGAAAGCGGCGUGCUGGACCUCUUCUGACGCUGAGGCGCGAAAGCCAGGGGAGCAAACGGG